UGUACGGUAGAUGCAGUAGCUAAAGCUCAGCGGCAGUAUGGACACACGGGUAUUUCAGAGCACGUGUCGGGGCAGGUUGAAGGCCACCAGAAAGGUGGCACAAGACACCAUCAACCAGCUGCAGCUGCAGGCAGUGGCAGAUGAAGCUGUAGAAAACAGAAAAAGGUUCAAUGUCAAAUAUCAAGGGACCUCAUUUCUGCCCAAAUAUGUGUGUUGUAGAAAUUAAAAACGUCGAAUCUGA